UACGCGGAUCUUUCUGUGGUUUUAAUGAAGUUUGAUCAUCAUUCUAAAUAAAAUGGGUAACAUUUACACCGUAUUUAACCGUAAUAUAUGUGAAUUUAGGUUAUUUUCAAUAUUGGUGCGCGACCGCGAGGGGAGUUAAGAAUGGAUAAAAUUACCUCCCCUGCCAAUCGAGCACUUACUAAUGUGGACGUUUCCGGAACGAUUGCAAACAAAAAUUAAUGCGUAUUACUUCGUAAUUGCAACAGCGAUUUGUAUCUGGUAGAUGACAAUAUUGCCGUUUGGUGCAGAAGAAACUCACUGACUCCGUGACAGAGUGUGUCCGCCUCGGGCUGGUUCAACUUUGAUGGCAAAGAAUAUAAAGGAUUUGUUAUAUCAGUGGUUCCCAGCUUUGGAGAAUGGUAUUUCUGUCUUGGCGCGGCGCACUUCGAUUCAUCUUAGCAGCAUACUAAGAAGUUGCCUGGUCCAAUAAAAGAUACGGGAUAGGUAUUUCUGUCUUGGCGCGGCGCACUUCGAUUCAUCUUAGCAGCAUACUAAGAAGUUGCUUGGUCCAAUACAAGAUACAGGAUAGGUCAGUGAUGGUUAUAGAAGCAGUCAGGAGUGAAUUGUGCACUGGAAAAACAUUCUAGAGUGGAAUAAAAAACUUGGGUCAGCUUUUUGUGAAAAGUGAAAAAAGUGACUUUCCGAAUGUUGAUUUUUUGCAUAAUCUGGAGUUGUUAAAUUCUAUGUGCUUUGACAUAACAUAAUAAAAGUAUACAUUUUUGUUAUAA